UGACCAUCAGUGACCAGAGUGACCAUCAGUGACCAUCAGUGACCAUCACUGACCAUCACUGACCACCACUGACCAUCACUGACCAUCACUGACCAGAGUGACCAUCACUGACCAUCACUGACCAUCACUGACCAUCACUGACCAUCAGUGACCAUCACUGACCAUCACUGACCAUCACUGACCAUCAGUGACCAUCACUGACCAUCACUGACCAUCACUGACCAUCAGUGACCAUCAGUGACCAGAGUGACCAUUACUGACCAUCAGUGACCAUCAGUGACCAUCACUGACCAUCACUGACCAUCACUGACCACCACUGACCAUCACUGACCAUCACUGACCAUCAGUGACCAUCAGUGACCAGAGUGACCACUGACCAUCACUGGCCAUUACUCUGGGCUGUACUGGGAGCACUGGGAUCCCUCAGAUCCCAGACUGGAGCGUCCCAGGUGUGUCCAGGUGUGUCCCCAGGUGUGUCCAGGUGUCCCCAGGUGUAUCUCAGGUGUGUCCCAGGUGUCCCCAGGUGUAUCCAGGUGUCCCCAGGUGUCCCCAGGUGUAUCUCAGGUGUCCCCAGGUGUGUCACAGACCUGCAGCAGCAGGUGACAGAUCUCCAGGUGUCCUUUCUGCGCGGCCGCGUGCAGCGCCGAGCGCUUG
rnacentral:lncRNA from 1 species